CACUCCUGCGGGAGGCAGCAGUGGGGAAUUUUGGACAAUGGGCGAAAGCCUGAUCCAGCAAUGCCGCGUGAGUGAAGAAGGCCUUCGGGUUGUAAAGCUCUUUUGUCAGGGAAGAAACGGUGAAAGCUAAUAUCUUUUGCUAAUGACGGUACCUGAAGAAUAAGCACCGGCUAACUACGUGCCAGCAGCCGCGGUAAUACGUAGGGUGCAAGCGUUAAUCGGAAUUACUGGGCGUAAAGCGUGCGCAGGCGGUUUUGUAAGUCUGAUGUGAAAUCCCCGGGCUCAACCUGGGAAUUGCAUUGGAGACUGCAAGGCUAGAAUCUGGCAGAGGGGGGUAGAAUUCCACGUGUAGCAGUGAAAUGCGUAGAUAUGUGGAGGAACACCGAUGGCGAAGGCAGCCCCCUGGGUCAAGAUUGACGCUCAUGCACGAAAGCGUGGGGAGCAAACAGGAUUAGAAACCCUAGUAGUCCCAUG
rnacentral:rRNA from 1 species